AAUGAUGAAUAAAGUUUUGUAUGUUUUUUUUCAAGGUGGGGUUUCUCUGUAUAGCCCUGGCUGUCCUGGAACUCCCACUGUAGACCAGACUGGUCUUGAAUUCAGAGAUCUGCCUGCUUCUGCUUCUGGGAUUAAAAAGGUAAGGGUGCAUCCCCAUGCCUGGCUUAAGAUGUUUUUUGAGAAAUAAAAUAGGAAGGAUGUGGGUUCAAGGCUAGCCUGGUCUAUAAAGUUCCAGAUCAGUCAAGGCUAGACAGAGAAGCCCUGUCUCAAAAAAACCAAAAGAAAAAGAAAAAGAAGGAAGGAAAACAGAUGCUAAGUGUUUAUCACACUCUCUCAUCUAACUUUAAGGCUUGGUUUACUAUGUAGCCCUGGCUGGCGUGAACUUAUUGUUUAGACCAAAAUGGCCUUGGUCUAAACAGAGAUCUGCCUUCCUCUUUCUCCCGCCAUGCCCAGCAAGAUCCAUCUUCAUGCAACUAUUGACACGUGUUCCUACAGAUGCUUACUGUGUGCUAGUAUAGGUAGGUAUGGAAAAGAAAAUUGCGAUUCAUUUCAAAAAUGGGGGCCGGGAGUGCUUGCAGACACUCAGACGCGUAGGCCAUGUGAUUGAUCAGUUUUCAUAUUCAUUAAUAGUGUUCCGAUGAAUUUAGUUCAGGAGAUGCAUUACUGAGCCUUCUUAAUCACCAUUUCUUUUGCAAAUCUAGAGUUGAGAGAGUUUAGCUGUCAAGUUUAGUGCUUUUAA
rnacentral:lncRNA from 1 species